GCUAGGCAUGGUGGUGCAUGCCUGUAGUCCUAGCUACUCAGGAGGCUGAAGCAGGAGGAUUGCUUGACCCCAGGAGGUCAAGGCUGCAGUGAGCCAUGAUGGCGCCACUGCACUCCAGCCUGGGCAACAGAGUGAGACUCUGUCUCAA
ensembl:misc_RNA Metazoa_SRP Metazoan signal recognition particle RNA